rnacentral:rRNA from 1 species
AAUGAACGCUGGCGGCGUGCCUAAUACAUGCAAGUCGAACGAAGAUUAUUUAACGAGCUCUUCAAACUGAAUGGCGCAGGAGUGAGUAAUAUAUAGUUAAUCUGCCCCAUAGUGGAGGACAACAGUUAGAAAUGACUGCUAAUACUCCAUACUCCUUCUUAUCAUAAGUUAAGUCGGGAAAGUUUUUCGCUAUGAGAUGAGACUAUAUCGUAUCAGCUAGUUGGUGAGGUAAUGGCUCACCAGGGCUAUGACGCGUAACUGGUCUGAGAGGAUGAUCAGUCACAUUGGAACUGAGACACGGUCCAAACUCCUACGGGAGGCAGAAUUAUGGAAUAUUGCGCAAUGGGGGAAACCCUGACGCAGCAACGCCGCGUGGAGGAUGACACUUUUCGGAGCGUAAACUCCUUUUGUCAGGGAAGAAUAAUGACGGUACCUAACGAAUAAGCACCGGCUAACUCCGUGCCAGCAGCCGCGGUAAUACGGAGGGUGCAAGCGUUACUCGUCCUCACUGGGCGUAAAGGACUGGUCGCCGAUUAUCAAGUCUCUUUGUGAACUCUAUUGGCUUAACCACUAAACUGUUUUGGGAAACUGAUAAUCUACAGUACUCGAGAGGCGGAUGGAAUUCUUGGUGUAGGGGGUAAAAUCCGUACAGAUCAGAAGAAUACUUUUGCGAAGGCGAUCUGCCAAAAACUUAACUGACGCUCAUGCGUGAAAACGUGGGGAUCAACCGGACCAGAUCCUCGGUUUGCCUACGGGGGAAUUACCCAGUGGGGGUCGUUUUCUUGGGUGUCCCCCACUCUCACGGGGGCGCUUAUGGGGGGCCCCCUUUCCCUUUCUUUAUUUUCAUUUAAAAAAGCGAGGUCAAAAAAAGCUCUCCG